rnacentral:rRNA from 1 species
AUUGAACGCUGGCGGCAGGCCUAACACAUGCAAGUCGAGCGAGCGGCGGACGGGUGAGUAAUGUCUGGGAAACUGCCUGAUGGAGGGGGAUAACUACUGGAAACUGUAGCUAACACCGCAUACCAGAAGAUGCGCCCAGAUGGGAUUAGCUAGUAGGUGGGGUAACGGCUCACCUAGGCGACGAUCUCUAGCUGGUCUGAGAGGAUGACCAGCCACACUGGAACUGAGACGCGGUCCAGACGCGUACGGGAGGCAGCAGUGGGGAAUAUUGCACAAUGGGCGCAAGCCUGAUGCAGCCAUGCCGCGGGUAUGAAGAAGGCCUUCGGGUUGUAAAGUACUUUCAGCGGGGAGGCGUUACCCGCAGAAGAAGCACCGGCUAACUCCGUGCCAGCAGCCGCGGUAAUUC